CUUAGCUUGCUAAGGGGAUUAGUGGCGAACGGGUGAGUAAUAUAUCGGAACGUGCCUUGUAAUGGGGGAUAACUAGUCGAAAGAUUAGCUAAUACCGCAUACGCCCUGAGGGGGAAAGUAGGGGAUCUUCGGACCUUACGUUAUAAGAGCGGCCGAUAUCUGAUUAGCUAGUUGGUGGGGUAAUGGCCUACCAAGGCAUCGAUCAGUAGCUGGUCUGAGAGGACGACCAGCCACACUGGAACUGAGACACGGUCCAGACUCCUACGGGAGGCAGCAGUGGGGAAUUUUGGACAAUGGGCGCAAGCCUGAUCCAGCCAUUCCGCGUGAGUGAAGAAGGCCUUCGGGUUGUAAAGCUCUUUCGCAAGGGAAGAAAACUUACAUUCUAAUAAAGUGUGAGGCUGACGGUACCUUGAUAAGAAGCACCGGCUAACUACGUGCCAGCAGCCGCGGUAAUACGUAGGGUGCGAGCGUUAAUCGGAAUUACUGGGCGUAAAGCGUGCGCAGGCGGUUUGGCAAGUCAGAUGUGAAAUCCCCGAGCUCAACUUGGGAACUGCGUUUGAAACUGCCAGA
rnacentral:rRNA from 1 species